rnacentral:rRNA from 1 species
UACGAAGGUCCCAAGCGUUAUCCGGAUUUAUUGGGUUUAAAGGGUGCGUAGGCGGGUUAUUAAGUCAGUGGUGAAAGCCUUCAGCUUAACUGAAGAAUUGCCAUUGAUACUGAUGAUCUUGAGUAUGAUUGAGGUGGGCGGAAUGUGUCAUGUAGCGGUGAAAUGCGUAGAUAUCGGAAGGAACAUCAGUGGCGAAAGCGACUUCCUGGACCAAUACUGACGCUCAUGUGCGAAAGCGUGGGGAGCAAACAGG